rnacentral:rRNA from 1 species
GUCCUUUAGUAAUAUAUAAUUUGAGGUCUAACCUGCCCAUUGAUAAAGUUAAAAGGCCGCAGUAAUUUGACUGUGCAAAGGUAGCAUAAUCAUUAGUUUUUUAAUUAAAAGCUUGUAUGAAUGGUUGGACGAGAUAAAAUCUGUCUCUUAAUAAAAAAUAGAAUUUAAUUUUUAAGUUAAAAAGCUUAAAUAUAAAUAAAAGACGAGAAGACCCUAUAGAUCUUUAUAUAAUUUUUUUUAGUAUUAAUAAAGAAAAUUUUAUUUAUUAAUUUAGUUUAUAUUUUAUUGGGGUAAUAAAAAGAUUAAAUAAAUUCUUUUAUAUAAAACAAAGAUUAUUGAUUAUAUGAUCCAUUAUUAAUGAUUAAAAGAUUAAGUUACCUUAGGGAUAACAGCGUAAUUUUUUUAGAGAGUUCUUAUCAAUAAAAAAGUUUGCGACCUCGAUGUUGGAUUAAAAGUAAUUCCAGGUGUAGAAGUUUGGAGUUUUGGUCUGUUCGACCAUUAAAUUUUU